AUUGAACGCUGGCGGCAUGCCUUACACAUGCAAGUCGAACGGCAGCGCGGACUUCGGUCUGGCGGCGAGUGGCGAACGGGUGAGUAAUACAUCGGAACGUACCCUGUUGUGGGGGAUAACUAGUCGAAAGAUUAGCUAAUACCGCAUACGACCUGAGGGUGAAAGUGGGGGACCGCAAGGCCUCACGCAGCUGGAGCGGCCGAUGUCUGAUUAGCUAGUUGGUGGGGUAAAGGCCCACCAAGGCGACGAGCAGUAGCUGGUCUGAGAGGACGAUCAGCCACACUGGGACUGAGACACGGCCCAGACUCCUACGGGAGGCAGCAGUGGGGAAUUUUGGACAAUGGGGGCAACCCUGAUCCAGCAAUGCCGCGUGUGUGAAGAAGGCCUUCGGGUUGUAAAGCACUUUUGUCCGGAAAGAAAUCGCGCUGGUUAAUACCUGGCGUGGAUGACGGUACCGGAAGAAUAAGCACCGGCUAACUACGUGCCAGCCGCCGCCGUAA
rnacentral:rRNA from 1 species